rnacentral:rRNA from 1 species
UAGGGAAUCUUCGGCAAUGGACGAAAGUCUGACCGAGCAACGCCGCGUGAGUGAAGAAGGUUUUCGGAUCGUAAAACUCUGUUGUUAGAGAAGAACGUUGCAUAGAGUGGAAAAUUAUGCAAGUGACGGUAUCUAACCAGAAAGGGACGGCUAACUACGUGCCAGCAGCCGCGGUAAUACGUAGGUCCCGAGCGUUGUCCGGAUUUAUUGGGCGUAAAGCGAGCGCAGGUGGUUUAAUAAGUCUGAUGUAAAAAGGCAGUGGCUCAACCAUUGUGUGCAUUGGAAACUGUUAGACUUGAGUGCAGUAGAGGAGAGUGGAAUUCCAUGUGUAGCGGUGAAAUGCGUAGAUAUAUGGAGGAACACCGGUGGCGAAAAGCGGCUCUCUGGACUGUCACUGACACUGAGGCUCGAAAGCGUGGGUAGCAAACAGGAUUAGAUACCCUGGUAGUCCACGCCGUAAACGAUGAGUGCUAGUUGUUUGGGGCUAUCCAGCCCUAAGUGACGCAGCA